AUGAUCAUCAUGGAAGGAUGGUUUGGAUUAAUUAUAAUAGAUGGCAAUUUUGUUGGUAUGUUCCUUGUUGGAGCAGCUGAUCUCGAGAAAUGCGCAUCCGACGACUCACCAGAUCCGAACACCGACAACCCUUGUGCUCAUCACUAUAACCUAAAAAGACACACUCAACAUAUUGAUCAGACAAUUUGGUGCGUGAAGAACGUAGCAGAAGCAACCAAACAAACAAAGUGUUUAGUAGUUACGAGAAUGCCACAAAGACGCACGAGAGGAAUAGAACCGUGUAGAGCAGAGGAAGUAUGA
rnacentral:rRNA from 1 species